GGAUGAAUCAGUUGGAAGGAAUAUGCCAUUUGUAUUUCUUGAUCGUGUGAAAGAUGACUUUAAACAACGUUAUGGUUCAAGUAUAAAGGAUGAGAACCCUCACCCACUUGCAGAUGAUGAGGACGAUGAUGAUUUAUUUCUAGACCGAUUCAGUGUUGCAUACACUCUUGACAGAGAAUUUGGGCCACGGCUUAAAGAGCACAUGCAAUAUUGCAUGAACC
rnacentral:misc_RNA from 1 species